UAGCACCCCUACGCAUCCGUCGUACUCGACGGGAUCCACGCACAAUAGGAAGGAAUAAGGUUGCUAAAACACUGCUCACACACACACACACUGGCUGAAAGAGACACAGGAAAAUAAAGAAACCAACUCGGCAGGUAUCGCAUCCUGGUCCUACGUAGUCUAUCAGGCAUAGACAUCAGAGUCGACGUAGUUCGGACGGGGAAAAGCAUCUCGCUAGGAUGUCGCAUCCUAUGCAUACGUAUCUUCUUAGACGAAGAAGAAUCAGAGCAUUCGUAGCUCGGCUCAUGCACGCCAAACAAAACAAAACACACACAGGAAACCGACUGCCAAUCGCUGGACUUACGUCAGACUCCACACAAAAAAUGGCAAACAUGGGACCCGAAUGCCAAUCACUGGACUUAUAUCAGCGCCCGAACCAACAAACCCACACUGGAACCCGAAUGCCAAUCGCUGGACUUAUAUCAGCUUCCGAGCACACAACAAACAUACACAGACAAAAAAGCAAAAGGUUGCCCGGAGAGAUCAGCUCAAUCUCCUGCCUACGUACCUCAUCUAGUAUGAGGAUCAGGGCGACGUAGUUCCCCUACGCAGGGAAAAAGGACUAGCCUAACCAGAUAACAAAGAGAGAUACAACUAGGGAGACUACGACUCGAGCCUAGAUGUUAUCAUGCAAAUCAUCCCUAAGUCAAGGUUUCUAGCUAACUUGCACAGGGAGCAAGCUAUCCUAUUCAGCACAGGCACAAGCAAAC
rnacentral:lncRNA from 1 species